UCCACACACACAUACACAUAUAUAUAUAUUUAUAGUAGGGCUGCACGAUAUAUCGAAAAAAUAUCGUCAUCACGAUAUUGGCACAUGCGAUAGGCAUAUCUAAAAGAUGCGCGAUAAUUUCUAAUUAUUUAAUGUAUAAAUCAGGUCUUU